ensembl:lincRNA Gm12973 predicted gene 12973
GAACUUUCCCCUGCCAUCUGUACCCAGAAGACAUUGCUUCGAUACACAGCAGUUAUCGGAGGCCACAGGAAGCCGAGGACCAGGGCGGUGGCCCCAGAUGGCUGACAGCUUCAGGAGGCAGGCUGCAGGAUGGCAGAGGAUCUUUACAUCUAAAGGGCCACUCUCCAUGGCCCUGUCCUUGGCCAGCUCCUUGUGACACUGCAACUCCGGGCAAUGUUUCCUGACCGUGCAGCCAUUUUGGUGGAAUUGUCAGCAGAGCCUGAGGUACAAGGCUCUGCCAAUGCUGAAGAUGAAGAGGAUGCUGAAGAUGAAGAGGAUGCUGAAGAUGAAGAGCGAACUGCGGAAAUGGCUGCAGGCUGCUAAGCUGUAGUUCCUCGCUCUCCUGUUCAUCUGUGCAUGUGGGCUGUCAGCGACAGGGGACUGGUGGCAGCUGAAGAAACACGUUCUGACAAAUGUUCAUCGGGGAGAGCAAAGCAAAAUGGUCAGGAGGGAGGAGAGAAGCGGCCAUGUGGAGCGGGAAGCAAGGACGUGAACUGGUGAAGCGGCUGCCCUUCCUCAAGCUCUGCCGUCAGCUUGAUACCUGAGAAAAUAAAUGGAGGAAAUCUUA